UUUUUGGCUGUGCUGGGUCUUUGUUGCUGCUUGAGGGCUUUCUCUAGUUGCAGAGAUUAGGGUCUACUCUCGAGUUGCGAUGUGAGGACUUCUCAUUUUGGUGGCUUCUCUUGUUGCAGAGCACAGGCUCUGGGACUCAUGGGCUUCAGUAGCUGCAGCUCGAGGACUUAAUUGCUACUUGGCAUGUGGGAUCUUCCCAGACCAGGGAUCGAACCCAUGUCCCCUGCAUUGGCAGGUGGAUUCUUAACCCCUGGACAAGCAGGUAAGUCCAUCACCUGUGCUUCAGGAUCAGCAAUUCCAACAAUUCCCCUCCCUGGGUUCAAUUAAUUUGCUACAGCAGCUCACAGAACUCAGGAAAACAUUUACCUGCUAGAUCACCAGUUUAUCAUUAAAGGAUAUAACUCAGGAGCAGCCAGAUGGAAGAGAUGCACAGGGAGGGGUACGCAGGAAGAGACACAGAGCUUCCCAUUUUCCCCAAAUCUCCACAUGCUCACCGCCUGGAAGCUCUUUGAACCUUGUCCUUCUGGAUUUUUAUGGAGGCUUCAUCACAGAUGCACAAUUGAUUAAAUUAUUGGCUAUUGGUGAUUGAAAUCAAUCUUUAGACUUCUCCCUUCCCCAGAGGUCAAGGGUGGGACUUAAAGUCUACUCCUCUAAUCACGUGCUUUAUUCUCCUGGAAAGCAGUCUGCAUUCUUGGGUUACCUAAUGGCUUUCCAAAAGUCAUCUUUUUAAGGUAACAGAAACCUUUAUCUCUCUCAUCACUUAGUAUACUUCAAGGGUUUUAGGAGCUCUGUGCCAGAACCAAAGAUGAAGAACAAAUAUAUUUUGUUCUCAAAGAGUUAGGUACAGAAAUUAACAGUAAGCCACUAGAAAAUUCUAUAGCCGUUUGACAUUACUCCAGCAUCCAAGCUCAUGAUCAAUAGAUUCAUCUCAAUAAAGAGAAUGUGGGCCAGUUGUUGAACUCAGUGGAAGUUUGCUCCAACUGUUGGCGGAGGAUGAAGGCAGAAGGAUUCAACGUGAGAAAGAUUUAAGAUUUCCUGAUGUGAGAUGGAGGGGACCACCUGAUAAUAAAUGUGAGUGGCCUCUAGACUCUGAGGGCAGGUCCUGACUUCCAACAAGAAAAUGGAAACUUCAGUCCUAUAACCACAGGACCUGAAUUUUGCCAAUAACCUGAAUGAUCCAGGAAGCAACUUUACCCCUGAGCCUUGAGCUAAGUCCAGCCAACGUUUGGAGUUCACCCUGGUGAUACCCUGAGCACAGACCCUGCUGGAGCCCACCUGCCCUCUGACUACAGAACUGCCUGCUAAUAGCAUGAGUGUUAUUUGAAAAACAACAAGAACUUGGAUCAAAUGCCAGGGUCAGGGCUUCUCUGGUGACUCAGUGGUCAAGAAUCCACUUGCCAAUGCAAGAGACAUGGAUUUGAUUCCUGAUCCAGGAAGAUCCAACUAAGCCGCAACUAUUGAGCCUGCGCUCUAAAGCCUGGGAGCCGCAAAUACGGAGCCCACAUGCCCUAGAGCGCAUGCUCAGCAACAGAGGCAGACACCACAAUGAGAAGCUAGUGUAUCGCAACAGGAGGAUAGCCCCCGCUUGCCACAACUAGAGGCAAGAAUACUGGGGUGGGUUGCUAUUUCCUUCCUCCAGGUGAUCUUCCUGACACAGGGAUUGAACCGGAGUCUCUUAUAUCUCCUGAAUUGGCAGGCAUCAUGUCUUCUUUCCAGAAGAAAAGAAAGUGGAAGAAGAAAAAUGAAGCUGUAUCUGUUUAGAAAAGCAAAAGUUUUCCAAAAGCUUCCAGAGAGCAGUUACAGGCAGGCGGCUGCGACUGGCGCGCUAAGCGCAGGUGAGAGGAGCCACCCCACGUCCGACGUCAGGGGCAGAAGCCGGGAGGCCCCAUGCCCGAAGGGCGGCGGCCAAGAGGAGUUACCCCACGUCCGAGGUCAGGGGCAGCGGCCUAGAGUACCAGACUGCAACGGCACAGGAACUGCCGAGAGGAGCUACCCCGCGUCCGCGGUCAGGGGGGGCGGCCGAGAGGAGAUACCCAGCGUCCGAGGUCAGGGG
ensembl:lncRNA